rnacentral:lncRNA from 1 species
GUCUAGUCCAGGUGGGUCUAGUCCAGGUGGGUCUCUGUGUUACAGUGUGUCUAGUCCAGGUGGGUCUCUGUGUUACAGUGGGUCU